AAACAGGUUUGUUUCAUCGCUCUUUAUUUUAAGGGAGGAAAGUCCGGGCAACGCAGGGUAAUUUGCCACUUGAAAAAGUGGGUAUCCCAACAGGAAUGUUGAGAUAACAGAUAGUGUCACAGAAAACCAAGUAGCCUUCGCAGCAAUGUGAAGGUCAUAGUGAAAAUGUGAGGUAAGAGCUCACAUGUAUAGCUGGUAACAGUUAUAUAGGACAAACCUCUUAUGUUGUAAGGCCAUGUAAACCCUAAUUUUACUGCGACUCGUGGUAAUAACUUCGGUUAUAUUAGGGAGGGUAGGCUGCAUAGAUAAAUGAUGAAAGUUGUUUACCAAUUGGUAAACAAUACAGAACUCGGCUUAUAGAACCUGUUUUUAU
rnacentral:RNase_P_RNA from 1 species